AUUGAACGCUGGCGGCAGGCCUAACACAUGCAAGUCGAACGGUAACAGGAAGAAGCUUGCUUCUUUGCUGACGAGUGGCGGACGGGUGAGUAAUGUCUGGGAAACUGCCUGAUGGAGGGGGAUAACUACUGGAAACGGUAGCUAAUACCGCAUAACGUCGCAAGACCAAAAAGGGGGACCUUCGGGCCUCUUGCCAUCGGAUGUGCCCAGAUGGGAUUAGCUAGUAGGUGGGGUAACGGCUCACCUAGGCGACGAUCCCUAGCUGGUCUGAGAGGAUGACCAGCCACACUGGAACUGAGACACGGUCCAGACUCCUACGGGAGGCAGCAGUGGGGAAUAUUGCACAAUGGGCGCAAGUCUGAUGCAGCCAUGCCGCGUGUAUGAAGAAGGCCUUCGGGUUGUAAAGUACUUUCAGCGGGGAGGAAGGGAGUAAAGUUAAUACUUUUGCUCAUUGACGUUACCCGCAGAAGAAGCACCGGCUAACUCCGUG
rnacentral:rRNA from 1 species